AUUGAACGCUGGCGGCAGGCCUAACACAUGCAAGUCGAGCGGAUGAAGGGAGCUUGCUCCUGGAUUCAGCGGCGGACGGGUGAGUAAUGCCUAGGAAUCUGCCUGGUAGUGGGGGAUAACGUCCGGAAACGGGCGCUAAUACCGCAUACGCCCUGAGGGAGAAAGUGGGGGAUCUUCGGACCUCACGCUAUCAGAUGAGCCUAGGUCGGAUUAGCUAGUUGGUGGGGUAAAGGCCUACCAAGGCGACGAUCCGUAACUGGUCUGAGAGGAUGAUCAGUCACACUGGAACUGAGACACGGUCCAGACUCCUACGGGAGGCAGCAGUGGGGAAUAUUGGACAAUGGGCGAAAGCCUGAUCCAGCCAUGCCGCGUGUGUGAAGAAGGUCUUCGGAUUGUAAAGCACUUUAAGUUGGGAGGAAGAGCAGUAAGUUAAUACCUUGCUGUUUUGACGUUACCAACAGAAUAAGCACCGGCUAACUUCGUG
rnacentral:rRNA from 1 species